rnacentral:rRNA from 1 species
UCCUACGGGGGGCAGCAGUAGGGAAUUUUCGUCAAUGGGCGCAAGCCUGAACGAGCAAUGCCGCGUGAACGAGGAAGGUCUUCGGAUCGUAAAGUUCUGUUGAAGGGGAAAAAGAGCGGAGAGAGGAAAUGCUUUCUGAUUGAUAUUACCCUUCGAGGAAGUCACGGCUAACUACGUGCCAGCAGCCGCGGUAAUACGUAGGUGGCAAGCGUUGUCCGGAUUUAUUGGGCGUAAAGCGAGUGCAGGCGGGUCAAUAAGUCUGUUGUGAAAGCCUUCGGCUCAACCGGGG